ACAACAGAGGAGCGCGUGAGGUUUGACAGUCGUGACAAUCCCACUCAUUACAGGGCACAAGCACAAAACCUACUGGAUCUCAAAUCUAUCACCGAGAAUUUCAUCGUGACUGACACUUCCAAUUGGCGGAUAUGCUUCACAGUGCAUUACACCGUAGGAUCACAGAGCAACAUUCUCGGUGGAUGCAGGAUGGAUAAUGGGAUGCAGCCUUGUGCAGUCCAGUGAUGUCAAGAUCCUAUGGUCUUCCCAUCUGUGCCGCAGCCUGAUGUCUUUGUCUGCUCCAAAAAAAAGAUCCAUACCCAAAGUGUCUCUUCCUCUGAUCACUCGGGAAAUUAUCAUCAGACUCCACUGGUACUGGCACUGUGACCAGAGUGGUAAGGGUAACAGACUGUAAGAGUUUAUGCCCGGGAAAACUGACCAGGGCACAGUUUUUGUGAAGCAAGGCAAGCAAGUUGCAGAUUGUUCCAAACAAAUACCAUCACACAUUUUAACACAUCCACAUGAUUCAUUCAUUUUAUUUACAGUACUUUAAAUGACAAUUUACUGUAAGUUUAUUAUUCUCAGUUUUCAGCUGCAAUGCAACACAUGGGAUUCCCAAUAUUUUUAUAUUAGGCAAUGAUGUUUCCCAGAGCUUCAAAUGAUUGAUUUAUACUAAUUUACAAUCUGCAAAAUUAUUAGAGGUGUCUACGAUUUGAAGAACAUUAGGAUUGUGUUUAUCUAUUAAUGUCAAAACCCACAAAAAGCAUACAAAAAGCAUAAAGAUUGUAUAUGUGUCAAACUACAGUAGCAAUAAAGUAUCACAAAGAAUCAAAAUAUCAUGAUGAUCAUCAACAGAUCUUUUUGUUAAGUGAUUUAUUUUAAUUAUUUUCCAUUGUAACAACUGGGUAGCAUUAUUAAACCAAAACACAUUUGUUUUCAGAUCACUGAAUAGGAACAACCUGGGGUCAGAUCUUUUAGUUUGUUGUUUAAUUUGUUAGUCAGCUAGAAGCAGUGGGAAAACAUUUUCAUUUGUUAUUGACUGAGGGUGCUGAAUAAUGAUUUGAUUAAAACACAGACGUGUACAGACACACACACAUGCACCCACACUGUGUCCUCAAAACCUGGGAGACAUUGCACAUGAAAGGUGCUCGACAUCAGAAGGAGUCAAAUUGGCCUUGGCUGGGAGGAUUGGUCCAAUCAACCUCCAACCGUAUAAUUAGUAAUUAGAUUGGGAUUAGAGUCAACUCUGAGUGGAGGAGCGUGGCCAAUUUAAAUCAGCAUAUGAAAUGUGAUUAAAUUAAUAAGAGAAAAAUUGAAAUAUUAAUGUCCUUUUUUCCACUGGGUCUCAGUUUGAUUUUUUUUUUACUUUGGUUAAUUAUGGACUCACAUAGAGUAAAAUUAUUGGUGGCUAUUUUUAAUAAUGUUUAUGUUAUUGUACAUUGCAGCAGACCAUUAAAUCCUCAAUAACACCCCAACAUAAGAAUAGAUGAACAUAAU